CUUUUUGUUCGUGGAAUUGCCUGAAGUUUCAUUAACAAUCCGUCAAGAUUAUUUGCUUGAUGUGAACAUUUUUUGAUCCCACUAUUACUCUUGUGCUUAAGUAACCAAUAUAAGAUGGUGUUGGAAAUCCAAGUCAUAAAUGAAUUAGAGUUGAAUUAAAUAGGAAGUUUAAAUAGAAUUUAUUUAGGAAGAAAAUUAAAAAAAAAG
rnacentral:misc_RNA from 1 species